AUUGAACGCUGGCGGCAGGCUUAAUACAUGCAAGUCGAACGAGUGGCGGACGGGUGAGUAAUGCUUGGGAAUCUAGCUCAUGGAGGGGGAUAACUACGGGAAACUGUAGCUAAUAACGCGUACCAUAGGAUGAGCCCAGGUGGGAUUAGGUAGUUGGUGAGGUAAAGGCUAACCAAGCCGACGAUCUCUAGCUGGUCUGAGAGGGUGAGCAGCCACACUGGGACUGAGACACGGCCCAGACUCCUACGGGAGGCAGCAGUGGGGAAUAUUUCGCAAUGGGGGCAACCUGACGGAGCAAUGCCGCGUGAAUGAAGAAGGCCUUCGGGUUGUAAAGUUCUUUCGGUAGCGAGGCGUUAACUACACAAGAAGCACCGGCUAACUCCGUGCCAGCAGCCGCGGUAAUAC
rnacentral:rRNA from 1 species